GGGGAUGUGGCUCAGUUGGUAGAGUGUUUGCUUGGCAUGCACAAGACCCUGCAUCUCCA
rnacentral:tRNA from 1 species